UUCCCCCUUCCCCCCGCCCCCUCCAGAGAAAACCUCUCCUUUUAUAUAAAACGAAGCGACAACAACAAGACUCUGAUUAAUUGAAUUCCGACAGGCAGGGGCGCGAUUGGAAAUCUGUGCAGUGUGCUCGAAGAAUCACAAUAUUGGUGAGAAAAUCAAGACGUGGAGCAAAAUCUCACGAAGGGAAAGGAUCUCAAGCUGUGAUGUAGUCUGUGCAGGGAACACCCUCAAAUAUUGCCGUAUUUAAAGCUCUCAAAGGUUGGUGUGUUAGCUGAACAGUUAAAAAGCAGGAAAAAUCCUU